GACGAACGCUGGCGGCGUGCCUAAUACAUGCAAGUAGAACGCUGUCGCGCACGGGUGAGUCACGCGUAGGUAACUGCCUCAUAGCGGGGGAUAAAUAUUGGAAACGAUAGCUAAUACCGCAUAAUGUGAGCUGGCUCCGUGUUGUAUUAGCUAGUUGGGGGGGUAAAGGCUCACCAAGGCCACGAUACAUACCCGACCUGAGAGGGUGAUCGGCCAAACUGGGACUGGGACACGGCCCAGACUCCUACGGGAGGCAGCAGUAGGGAAUCUUCGGCAAUGGACGGAAGUCUGACCGAGCAACGCCGGGUGAGUGAAGAAGGUUUUCGGAUCGUAAAGCUCUGUUGUUAGAGAAGCGGUAACUUACCAGAAAGGGACGGCUAACUACGUGCCAGCAGCCGCGGUAAUUC
rnacentral:rRNA from 1 species